rnacentral:rRNA from 1 species
CUCUGGAAACUAUGUGACUGGAGUGCAGGAGAGGUGAGCGGAAUUCCUAGUGUAGCGGUGAAAUGCGUAGAUAUAUGGAAGAACACCAGUGGCGAAAGCGGCUCUCUGGUCUGUAACUGACGCUGAGGUUCGAAAGCGUGGGUAGCAAACA